CACGUAGGGUGCAAGCGUUGUCCGGAAUUAUUGGGCGUAAAGGGCUCGUAGGCGGUCCGUCACGUCGGGAGUGAAAACUCGUGGCUCAACCCCGAGCCUGCUUCCGAUACGGGCGGACUAGAGGUAGGUAGGGGAGAACGGAAUUCCUGGUGUAGCGGUGGAAUGCGCAGAUAUCAGGAGGAACACCGGUGGCGAAGGCGGUUCUCUGGGCCUUACCUGACGCUGAGGAGCGAAAGUGUGGGGAGCGAACAGG
rnacentral:rRNA from 1 species